CCUACGGGCGGCAGCAGUAGGGAAUCUUUCACAAUGGGCGAAAGCCUGAUGGAGCAACGCCGCGUACAGGAUGAAGGCCUUCGGGUUGUAAACUGCUUUUAUAAGCGAGAAAUAUGAUGGUAACUUAUGAAUAAGGAUCGGCUAACUACGUGCCAGCAGCCGCGGUCAUACGUAGGAUCCGAGCAUUAUCCGGAGUGACUGGGUGUAAAGAGUUGCGUAGGUGGCAUAAUAAGUAGCUAGUGAAAUCUGGUGGCUCAACCAUUCAGACUAUUAGCUAAACUGUUAAGCUCGAGACCGUUAGGGGUAACUGGAAUUUCUAGUGUAGGAGUGAAAUCCGUAGAUAUUAGAAGGAACACCAAUAGCGUAGGCAGGUUGCUGGGACGGUUCUGACACUAAGGCACGAAAGCGUAGGGAGCAAACGGGAUUAGAUACCCGUGUAGUC
rnacentral:rRNA from 1 species